AUUGAACGCUGGCGGCAGGCCUAACACAUGCAAGUCGAGCGAGCGGCGGACGGGUGAGUAAUGCCUGGGAAUUGCCCAGUCGAGGGGGAUAACAGUUGGAAACGACUGCUAAUACCGCAUACGAUUGGCUUGCCCAGGUGGGAUUAGCUAUUGGGGGGGGGAAUGGCUCAACAAGGCGACGAGCCCUAGCUGGUCUGAGAGGAGGACCAUCCACACUGGAACUGAGACACGGUCCAGACUCCUACGGUAGGCAGCAGUUGGGAAUAUUGCACAAUGGGGUAAACCCUGAUGCAGCCAUGCCGCGUGGGUGAAGAAGGCCUUCGGGUUGUAAAGCACUUUCAGCGAGGAGGCGUUACUCGCAGAAGAAGCACCGGCUAACUCCGUGCCAGCAGCCGCGGUAAUUC
rnacentral:rRNA from 1 species